UACGGAGGGUGCAAGCGUUAUCCGGAUUCACUGGGUUUAAAGGGUGCGUAGGUGGCUAUUUAAGUCAGUGGUGAAAGCCCCGCGGCUCAACCGUGGAAUUGCCAUUGAAACUGAAUAGCUUGAGUACAGUUGAAGUGGGCGGAAUACAUCAUGUAGCGGUGAAAUGCUUAGAUAUGAUGUAGAACACCGAUUGCGAAGGCAGCUCACUAAGCUGUAACUGACACUGAGGCACGAAAGCGUGGGUAGCGAACAGG
rnacentral:rRNA from 1 species